rnacentral:rRNA from 1 species
GCUCAGAACGAACGCUGGCGGCGCGUUUUAAGCAUGCAAGUCGCGGGGUAGAACACCUUCGGGUGUUUGAGACCGGCGGACGGGUGAGUAACACGUAGGUAAUCUGCCUGAGGGUUGGGGAUAGCCCAUGGAAACAUGGGGUAAUACCGAAGAUACGUCUUAUCUUACAUAAGUGAGAUAAGGGAAAGGUGCUUAGGCACCGCCCACAGAUGAGCCUGCGUCUCAUUAGUUAGUUGGUGGGGUAACGGCCUACCAAGGCAACGAUGAGUAGCCGGCCUGAGAGGGUGAACGGCCACACUGGGACUGAGACACGGCCCAGACUCCUACGGGAGGCAGCAGCUAAGAAUCUUCCGCAAUGGACGAAAGUCUGACGGAGCGACGCCGCGUGUGUGAUGAAGGCGGAAACGUUGUAAAGCACUUUUCCUGGGGAAGAAUAAGGUGAGGAGGUAAUGCCUCAUCGAUGACACGAACUAGGGAAUAAGCCCCGGCUAAUUACGUGCCAGCAGCCGCGGUAAUACGGAGGGUGCAAACGUUGUUCGGAAUCAUUGGGCGUAAAGCGCGCGUAGGCGGCGCCGUAGGUCGGGUGUGAAAUCCCCCGGCUCAACCCCGGAACUGCGCUCGAAACCCCGGUGCUCGAGUCUCGGAGGGAGAAGUGGAAUUCCUGGUGUAGGGGUGAAAUCCGUAGAUAUCAGGAGGAACACCGGCGGCGAAGGCGACUUCUUGGCCGAAGACUGACGCUGAGGUGCGAAAGUGUGGGGAGCGAACAGGAUUAGAUACCCUGGUAGUCCACACCGUAAACGAUGCUCACUAGCUGGCGGGUGCAUGAACCCACGCGCUGGCGCAGUUAACGCGUUAAGUGAGCCGCCUGGGGAGUACGGUCGCAAGAUUAAAACUCAAAGGAAUUGACGGGGGCCCGCACAAGCGGUGGAGCAUGUGGUUUAAUUCGAAGCAACGCGCAGAACCUUACCUGGGUUUGACAUCCUCCGAACGGACCAGAGAUGGACCGGUGCCCUUCGGGGAACGGAGUGACAGGUGCUGCAUGGCUGUCGCCAGCUCGUGUCGUGAGAUGUUGGGUUAAGUCCCGCAACGAGCGCAACCCUUGUCCUUAGUUGCCAGCGAUUCGGUCGGGGACUCUAAGGAGACUGCCGGUGUGAAACCGGAGGAAGGUGGGGAUGACGUCAAGUCCUCAUGGCCCUUAUGCCCAGGGCUACACACGUGCUACAAUGGCCGGUACAAUCCGCAGCGAGCCAGCGAUGGUGAGCCAAUCGGACAAAGCCGGUCUCAGUUCGGAUUGCAGUCUGCAACUCGACUGCAUGAAGCUGGAAUCGCUAGUAAUCGUGGAUCAGCAUGCCACGGUGAAUACGUUCCCGGGCCUUGUACACACCGCCCGUCACACCAUGGAAGUUCGUUGGACCAGAAGUCGCCGGCCGAACCUCGGAAGGAGGCGCCGAAGGUCUGAC